GCCCAGCUGGCUCAGUUGGUAGAGCGUGCCACUCUUGAUCUCAGGGUUAUAAGUUCGAGCCCCAUGUUGGGUG
rnacentral:tRNA from 1 species